GUGCGCCCGCCCCGGGGGCGGCACAGCCCGCCGCUCGCCAGCGCAGCCCCGGGGAGCGCUCGGGGGAAGGCCUGCCCCGGCACGGCCGGCGCUCCGCCAGCCUCCCCGCGCAGGGAGAGCCGCGUUCUCGCCUCCUCACGCCCGGGAGGACUCGGCGUCCUCGGCCUUUGGAAAGGAGCGUGUUUAACGGAGCGAGGUGGAGGAGGAAAGCCGGCGACCCAGGGCGCCUCAGCGCGGGGAGCCACCUCCGCAGCCGCGGCAGCCCCUGACGGCACCACACAGCGACGUCCCCUUGUGCCCACCGCGCUCCGGUCAGGUCGCGCCCUGCGCCCGCCCGCCCGGCCACCUCGGCGGGGAGAAGUAGGCGACGCGCAUCCUUACUGAGAUGUGAAUUUGAAUGAGGAAAAAUGGUGUUCCCAGACUUCCAUGUCCAGGAGAGAUGAAUUUAAGACUUUGUCAUGAGUCAACGGUGGCCUCUCUAAGCUGGGUUACUGCCUGUGAGCAGUUCAAGCACACCUCCAGAGCCAGCGUUACCAGAAGGGCUGUGAUAAUGCAUGAUUAGUCCAAAUCCCUGGGAAGAAGCAAGGCAGCUGGGACUACUAAGCCUGGCAUCACUGGAUUGUAGUGAUCGGGUUGUGCACUGGAGUAGGGAGACACCUGGAAGCCAUUUCCUGCUUGUGAACUGAUCUCCCUCCCCCUUCCUCUCAAAGAUAAGUAUAUGCAAUGUGGCUUUUGGCCACAGAGAGUUUUUUCAGAUUUGUAGUGUCAGGAAGGUUUGCUUUAAAGGCACAAAUCCAGGUCUUUCCUUACAUAUAAAACUUCAAAGGACCAAUUUUUUCCCCUCUGAUGUCUUCCCCCCCUGCCCCAGUCUCUUCUAACUUCAGAUUUUUCCAACUCUGAAAAAGUCUUUGCAAUUUCAUCUUGAAACUGGCAAGUGAACUUUAACAGACUAGAGACUGCUUAGGUACUGCACUGAGCUUUCACACAGAGAAUGACAAAGCCACUGAUGGUUGCUUUCUAGCCAUGCCUCACUAACAUACAACAGGUUAAGAUUUCCACCCCCCCACCACUCUUAAAUACUUGAAGUUUCCUUGGCUGUGCACAGCAAGCACAUAUUUUGUCCAUGAAAAUGCCUUUGAGCAGUAUCUCUUUUGUCAGUUAGGUUUCUCUUGUGCAUUGUAAUUCUUGCCAGGAGACAUCUCUUGACUGUUUUUUGUUGCCUCUGGAACUAUUUCAUUUGGCAGAACGGUCUGUUUUAGCUAUUGGGCAAGGUGUUGGUCCCCCCAAAGUCAACAGGAGUGACUAAAUUCUAAGAUGCCAGAAUUUUUUACCUCCUGUUAUUAAAAAUGCUUAAGACUAGAAGCAUGCAAUGCUUCAUCCGUUUGAAAAUGCUUCAGCCUUUUCUGUGGAACUGCUGGUCUUAGAAAAACUAAUAGCAGAGGUAGAACAUUCUUAUGCUUCUGAUACAAGUUUAUAUACAACCUCCAAAUAAUUAAUUUUCUUUUUGCUAAAAGAAAUCUCAGUUUUUAUAACUGAAGUCUAGAAAUUUUUUGUAACAAAUUUAAAAAAAAGAGAUAGUCAAAUCUUAGGAUGCCAAUAAAAAUGUUUUGUGAAGUCUCAUACAAGAUGUCACUCAAAUACUCUUCAAGGUUUUGAGAAAGUUACUUUUUACCUAAAGACAUUUGUUUUAAGGUACAAUUCAUUACAGUAUACUGUUAUAGUAGUUGUAAGAUUUUAGUAAUCGAUUUUCAUCUUUUAGCCAAUGAUCUAUAACUGCAAAAUCUGAAUGCAGGCUUAGCCUCCAAGUCUCAACAGGGAGGGUAGGACUUUAUAAAGGAGUCACACUCUCACUCUUUAGAAAUAUAAAUGGUAACAUAAAGUAUAAACUGUCAGAGUACUGCUGGGGCUGGCUCCUGCCAAAGGCAGCAAGCACGAUACUACAGCCAGCACAACAGAGACCUCAGCAGCCAGGGCCUUAACCCACAAUACCAGAGCAAGAGAGCAGGGAAGGCCCAGGGAAGGCAGCAGGGGUUAAACAGAAGUCCAAAUACCUGGCAAAUUUGCAGUGGCAAAGCAGGUCAAGUACCAAGGCCAACAGUCUGCAGGUCAGGGUCAGCCCAGGAAUCACCAGGCAGGACUAUAGCAACAGGCAGAGCUGAGAUGAAGCUAGGAAGUCAGCCCAGCUCAUGAUCUGAUGAGUUAGGUACAUGGUCAAGCAGAGGCACACCUAAAACUUAGCUUAGACUGGGACUGAAGGCCUGGGGCUGAGCUUAAAUGAAGCCCCUGGACCCAUGGGCAAGGGUGUGGGUGGAGGUCCCAGGUGAGACUGGUCAGGGCCAUUAAACCCUGUUGGUGCACUCAGGCCUGCUAACAUAAGUCAGUAGAACAUCCAGUCUUAUAUUUUCAUGCAUAAGCAAGAAGAGGGGAGAAUUAUGAUUGUGGUUUGACCUGUGCUGCAUUUUCUGACCCCUGAGUGCCUGAUUUCUCAACCACAAUAUUACAGUAAUGCUAUGUCUACCCAUAGUUUAUAUAAACACAGAGUACGUUAAACAACUGACUUAUGAUGUGAUACUUUUGUUUCCACUGAAUUCUAGACCAUCUGUGUACUAAAACAUUUCUAGACUUUGGAAAGAUCUGAUCUAUUCAGUUCCUUCACUAAGUAGUUACAGAUACUCCUGGAGUAUUCUUGUGUAUGUACUUUGACAUUUAUAUUUCAUUCCCUUUUUCAUUGCAAUUAAGCAUCUGUUGGAUCCCAAGGCUUGGUUGAUACUUCUGUACUUUUGAAAUAUCUUCUUUGCUCACCUUAAACCUUUAAAAUUCUCUAUUUGUGUGCUGUUCAAAUUAUGAAAAUUAAUGAAGGCUUUUUUGCCAGAGUUUAGAGUUGUUAGAGCAGUUUCAGGUCACCUGAUUUCUGAGAAACAGAUUGGUCCAUGUCUAUGUUUUCUUUUUCAUCUCUCCUAGCUGAAGUAAUACAAAAUGCUAUCUCAUAUUCUGGGACACAGAGCAGGAUGUCAGCAGCGUUGCAAGAUACGAUUCUAACAGGCACUCUGUACUUCCUGGAAUAACUCCUGAUCAGUGUGUAAAGUGGCCAGUUGGCUAACUGUAUCCCCAGCUCUAUAAUUAACAAAAUGCACGAUUCUCCUGUUGGCAGAGAGAAGGUUCAAAACGUAGCAACUUCUACCAAGUUCUCAUUGGGGAAAUUUGGGCAGAAAGGAUCCAUUUCAGUGCCUUGGAUAACGGGAUUCAAUCCCAGCAAAUUGUUUCAGUAGCUACUGCAGCACCGUCAUUUGCUUCCCUAGUUCUGGCUGGCCAGGACUAGAAGCAGGAGAGAAACAACAGGUUUUGUUCUAAGUGAAAGGAGUGAAUAUGUGAGAAGUUAAGAGCACCUGUGCUGGGAGGGGUUGCCUUUUCAGAUUUUCCUUGCAAAAAUUAUUUCCUCCACACCUCUUCUUCAGGGAAUCACAGCGGGCAGGACAACUGCAUAAAAGCUAGUAAUUCAUGUUUUAUGCAAGAUGAAAGAGAUCCAGAUCUAGCUGAUAUAAACAAACAGUGUUGUUGGCUUCAGUGCCAGUUACCUUUGCUGAGGAUAUUACCUAAAAUUUUUACACAGAAAGAGUAGCCUAAAUUUAGACAUUACCCUGGUAGCCAUAUCAGACUUCAUAAUCUGUCUGCUUUUGAUGUCUUCUAGCAGAUCAUAGCACUGCUUUGUUUCUAGUCUGACACUUUGUUUUUCUUUUAAUAACCUAAUAUGAAUUAAAAUAGCAGGUGCAUAGCAACACCUUUUUAGAAUGAGGUGUAUUUGAUGCUAAUAAGCAUGUUUAGCCAAGACCUUGCUGAGCCAUGGCUUUCAUCUCAGCCAGUACAAUACAUAUAUGAUAAAAAACAAUUAACUCCUUAGCUUCUGGUUAAGGGAAUAUGAAAGGUGUCUAUAAAAUAUCAACACAAAAAUUAUAAGUCAGUGAAGUUAUGGGAGGCCAUUAGGAAAAGUGAAAAGAUUCAGUGUGGUCACUUGCAUAAUAUCACUAUACUCUGUAUUUUUAAUAAUAAUGCUGUCAACGCUGGAAAAGCUAGACAUAGUCUGAUAAUAAACUGUUGCAUGUAAAAGGAACCAAACACUACAGAGAAGGAUUCCUGCCUAACCUAAAAAUGAGAGACAAAUGUGGGCACGAACUGCAGUUUGCAUCUAGUGGAAAAUUGAGGGCUCAUUGAAUGAAAGGGUUAAUGAAGGGAUUACAGGAAUGAACUCCAGGCAGCCAAUGGAUUCAAUUCCCCUAGAUUGUUGGGAAAACGAAAAAGCUGCAUAUCUUUGUCUCUUGUAAUUGCUUUGUUCGUUACCGCCUAAAUCCCCAAAACAAACAACAAACAAGCCAAGCCCUCCUGUCACAUAGACAUAGUCUUGCUAUUACAAAAGUACCACUUGUAAAAAACACUCUUGUCUCUUUCUGUGCUUUUUAACAUUUUAUCCUCUUACCAAGUUGAAGGUCAACAGAACUCACAAAAUAAUAUUGUAAUUUGUUUCCUUAGCAAACUAGUACUUUAGUGGAGACACAUACUGUAUCAGACUGUGAUAGUGCAGGCCUCAUAUUUAACCUGAGUCCAAUUUAGAAUUCUGAAAAGAGAGCUCAGUUGGACCCAAUUAUCCUAAGGGUCUUUUCCAACCUAAAUGAUUCUUAAUUCUAUUAUAGGGCUUCUGAUACAAUAGGUUCAACGUAUCAUUUAGUUUCAGCUUCUGGGGCAAAUACUAUACACUCCAAAUUUCUCUCACAUCAUCAAAUUUUGCAUUCCCCACCAGAAGUUCAGCAGUGAUUUUGCUUCCCCCAGGCCUGCUGUGUACCUUUUUGCCAUACUCCAAAGCCAGACAUUCACCAGUCUCCAUCCUCAUCAAGCUUCAGCUGAGGGAAAGACAGUAUGUUUGUUCCCUUUUGCAGCCCGAAGGAUCCUUCUGCAGAAUCAUUACAGUUAGACAAGCAAAGCAGGUUGAUGAUCAGAACAUGAAGUGGAGCACAAAGGAAAAACUCUGUGUGGAUCUUAGUCUCUGGGACCUCUUUCUGGAAAACAACUGUAAGAACUACAUGUCUAAGCAGUGGAUGACUCUCCGGUGCCCAGGGAGAUUGAAGUAGGAUCAUCUUCAAAGAGUGCAAAGGAGAUGGAUGGGAGACAUGUUUGGUGUUCCUAAUCAUCAGUGAUGUGUUUUAUAGAGAUCCACUUCUGUAAAGACUUCUGUGCUGGGUGAAAUACAAGCAAAGAGGAAAAAACAAUUUUUCUCCAAUUCCUUGUUUAAAAAGCCGAACAUUCGCGAAAGCAGCUGGUCCCAGAGGUGGAAUGCUCCAAAACCCCAUUUGGAGCCAAGUACGUACAUUAUGGACUCGGCCCUGACACCACUUUAUAGAGAACAGACAAUGAGUUUUGGAUCAUCUCUCUUCUGCGUGCUGAGGAAGACUCAGCUGCUGCUUUACCUAAACAAGAGAGCCCAACACUGGGCCUGGAAGGAAUAGAAGUCGGCACACACCGGGCUGGAAGGGAAGGACCAAACCUGGAGCUGAAAGUCUGAAGCGUCAAAUCCUCACAGAUGGGCAAGGGCCAGGCAAGAAGUGGCACAGCACAUCAAGGUUCUAGUCUGAGUGAAUGAGGCUGAUACAGUAAAUAUCAAGCCCACAAAUGCCCUGAAGAACUCAUCUGAUUUUGAAAGCAGUUAUUUCUACGGUCAGAGAAAAUCAGUUUGGAGUAGUCUGGAGCACCUAAGGUGGUUGUGCAGCAAACAAUUGGCUGUUUGGCGUCCAUCCAUCAAACACACAAACUAGGGCUAGUGAUGAAUUCUGCUGCUGUGGUGAGUUAAUGCUUUGGUUACAUCUGCCCAUUUCUGGGUGCUGGGGGGAAAAUGGUGAGCGAUACCCUGCUCCUCAGGAACUCACUCUACAGGUGAGUUUAUAACCUCAUGUUUGGAGAAUUUAUUUAUAUAAUGAUUGCUACACAUUUGAUUGUUUAUCAAAUUUCUUUAGUUGUGUUUGAAUAUAAAAGACUUGACUUCUGCAAUUCCACCACAAGUAUUUCUUUUUCCUUUUUGCAUCUUGGAUAGAGAGGAUGUGCAUUUAAUGAAACAUGGUGUGUCAGAACUUCCACGAGCAUAAGGAACCACUUAAUUUACUUGUAUAUAAAUAAGUAAUCUAGCAAACCAGUAAAUCAGUCUGUUCUGGCAUUUCCAAGAGUCUUCCUUUGCCAUUAAAAUACAGUGAUGGGGGACAGAAAAAUCCUCAGCACAAAAAUAAGAAAGUAGGGCCAAAAAUCCACGUUACCAAGGUAGCAAGACACAGUUGCGUUCGUUUUGUACAGGAGUUUAAUGUCACAUCCAUUUACUUUAAAAAAAAAAUCCAGGAGGAAAUAUUCAAAGAGCUGAAUUGUUGAGUUUUUCCAAAACAAAUGUAAGUUGCUGUGUUAUUCAGAGCUUUGAUGGAAAGAGACAGCUCCAGCUUCAGGAUCUGCAUGGGUUUCUCAUACUUUUCUGAAGUCCAGGAUUUGCAGGGGUCUACAUCUAACAUAGACCAAAUUUUGAGUUAUCUUGUAAAUUAUUUUCUCAUCUCUUCAAUCGCAUUUGGCAGCAGUUACUGUUCUGACUGAUAUAGUUGAUAUUUGAUUCCUUUUGUCUCUAUACAUUUAGGUGAUACUGUUAAAAAUACAGUGGAUCUCUCCUGAAAAUGAGCGAGCCUUGGUAUCGUCGUUUCUCUAGUUCACCUGAAAUAACCAGAAUUUCAAAAAUACAGCUCAGACACUACCUUUCUAACAGGGCUGCCCUCCAGGUUCAAUUACAACCAAUAUUUUGAGAGAGAUUUUUAUCUCAUUUGUAUUAGUAUUUGUUUUUUUUUUUUCUAAGACUUGAUAAUUUUUUUUUAAUCAGUUUUUAUUUCGCAGAUGUUGUUAAUUGCAUCAAAACAUUUGGAAAAGUCAGGAUUAGGAGAGCAUUGAAAGGGAUUCUGUUAACAGCCCAGCCGAUGUGCAGUUCCAGGCCCUAGAGCCUGGUCAGUGCAAUUUGUGGCCAACACAAACAACCCCAGGUGACUGCAGUCGAACAGCCACCCUCCCCGCAGUCCCACCCGAGGCACACAGGCUGUGGCUGGUGACAGCAGCUGAACGCUAUAGUCCUCUCUUAACCAGAGAGUAAACCCACAGGAUUUUGCAGUGACAUCCAGGUUGUCGGUGGGAUUAACUUCAGGAAAACAAACAAUGUUUAAACAGUCUGAAACGGCCCCCGCAAAUGGCACCGGCUCCUCUGCUCUUUGACAGCGGAGACCUCAAGGCAAGAGAAGGUUUGUAGCCCUCACCUAUUAGCGCCGUUUUCCCACUUUGUGGGAAUGUUUUGCUGGCUGCAGAGGGCAGGAGCAAGGUUUGGCCCUCCCCCAGCUGCGAUGGACUGUAGACCCCCCUCCCUGGGGCAGCCGCCUGGUGGCUUUCAGCUUUGGCCACAUCUUGUCUGCGGGGAGGCAGAGAAGGCUUUAAAAUCGGGACAAACUAUUUCUUCCUUUUACAGGACAUUUUGGGAUCCCCAGGUGAGGUAUACUAGAAAGCACAAGGUCAUGGUGUCACAAACAAAAAAAUCAGAGUCUACCAUCCAGUACCAAGGUUGCCUUUUACAGACUGUUGCAUUUUAUUUUGGGUCUGCCACGAUUUCCAGAUGCAAGUGGGGAAAAUGUUAAUGUUGAUUAAUUCUUCAGGAAAUGUUAACUCUUUGAUAAAUAAUCCUCUUUUUAAUAGCAUCUACUCCCUGCCAGAGGGGAAAAAAAAGUAAAAAUUGAGCCCCUUUUAAAGCCUUUCCCAAUGCUUUAGAUUUACAGGAAAGCUCUCCUACAAUAGUCCAAAUGCUCAUUCUGGCAGAAUUGUAUUUAAUGAAACUACCCCAGUGUGCAUCUCUUAACACACACACACACACACAUACACACAAUUACAUCUCACCACAAUAACUACUUUCUAAGGUGACAAAGGGCAGUAUUGGGUACACAGCAGCCAUACUGACACACACCGCACUCAGGUGAACAGCCCAGCUUCAUAUACUUGGUAUCUCUAUUUGCUGUUGCCUUUGAUGUGCUUUUCCCUGGGAUAUUUAUUUAGAGAACAGUUGGAAAAACUCAAGCUUCUACAAAGUUUGCUCAUUACUUGAGGUUUUUGCCUUAAACAGCUAUGGACUAGGAAUUGCAUGAAGGUUUCACCACCGUCUGCGUACGCCUUGGACAUUGGGGACUUACAGUUUCUUUUGCUUGCGCUUGCAGAAAGGUGUAGAAAAUGUGAAAAUUUUAAUUUCAAGCUUAAGCUAUGGCCUUUUUCCCUCCCCUCUUUUUUUGAUAAAACCUCCGGAGAUGCAUCGAUCAAAUUCAGCAGUAACUCGGCACCGAGCGUCAAUGCACAUAAAGGGGCUCCCGCUCCCGGGUGUCCCUGUGAUCCCUCUCGGGCCCCUCAGCUCCCAGGAAUGUCCGCGGUGCCUCCCCAGGAGCAGCACGGCCCUGGCCCUGCC